rnacentral:lncRNA from 1 species
GGCAUUUUCUUAAUACUAUAACUGUAUAUUAUCGAAUUCUUAGAUUAUAUUAAACACGGCCAACAUUACUGUUUCUCAUUUUUCAAAGCUUAAAAGUACACGUCUCUCAUGUCUAACAAGUGCAUUUUAUGUUUUUCCAAGCUUUGAUAUUCAUGUUAUUCAAAUUAAUAUAAUCUAUACAAUUAUUAUAUAAACGUUGGGGAAAUUAAGUUAUGAUUUUGUUAUUUACAAAAUUAUUUCACGUAAAUUUCGAUACAAAAACAAACCAGGCCACAAACUCAGUCGUGACAAUGUCAAUGUUUAAGUAAAUAACAGUAUAAUCAAGAAUAAAGCCCCGUACAGGAGAACAAGUUUUCCUUGGCAAGUUUUAUUUGUUCGUGUCAACGGGAAAAAUCCAAAGCAAGUUUUCCUUGACAAGCAGCCUUGUUCAAAAUGUAGUCAUGCCAACUUCUGAACAAGAAAAGUUGUUCGUGUGUACGGCCGUCAGAGAAAACUUGUCAAUUAAUUGUCAUAGAAUAAAGAUCCAUAUAGAAGGGCCACUUACGUCGGAAGCUUUGAAGUUUCUGUCCUCGCGCAUGUCGCAUUACGCAUGUUGGCCGCCAUUUUCCUAGCCAGUCAAUGACAUUUUCUGGCCAAGAAACACGCUGUACUGCAUAUUUUUGCAUAAAAAAACGCGGACACGUUGCACCGCUGAGUGGCCCUUCUGUUACCGAUCUUUAUUCUGUGUAAUUGUGCAGUUACGUUACUGCGCAAUCAUCUUCAAUCGACCACUGCCAUUUAAUCUCGUUAAUUUUGGAAAUUUACCUUUAAGUGUGGAACGCAGACAGUUUCAGCUGUUUUUAAUUUUGUUGGGAGCAGCU